UACGAGGCAGGUUUCUAGUUUUGGGAGGUGGAUGGAUGCUGAGGACCUGAACUGAAUGAGCGCGUCUCUACCAUCACUCUCAUCCUUCUCAAGUUCAGCCGCAGACGACACACUUUCUCCCAAAUGCCGUGGGCCUGUUGUCUCUUGAACUCACGCAACCAGAGAGUUAACGCACUAAUAUUAGAGGACAGUGCCAAUCUGAUGAAGUGUCAUUUAUAUUUAGAUGUGAGAGGAUCAGGGUUGCUUCAAAACAGAUGCCCACAGACGUCAUCAGUACCUGUGUAAGUAAAAAAUAAAAUCACAG
rnacentral:lncRNA from 1 species